GUUGGGCUCGUUCAAGUUGUCAUGUGGAAGACAGAACAGCCUGAUGCCCUGCAAUCCUAGUCCCAGGCAGCGGGUAGCAGGGUCUGCAGGCAAGAUCCUGGGAGGAUUUACUGAUGGUUCCCAAUGUGCACUGACUGGCCGCCCCUAACAGGAUGCUUCUCAGUUGCCAAGAAACAGAAGCAUCAUGCAGUCUUCCCUUCCUGCCUCCCUCCACCGAUGGCAGAUGCUUGUCUUAGGCAGAGAAGAGGUAACUGAGUCCACGCUCCAUGACUAGCUG
rnacentral:lncRNA from 1 species